UUACCGCGUAAUCUGCCAAGAU
rnacentral:siRNA from 1 species